rnacentral:rRNA from 1 species
AGAAGUUUGAUCCUGGCUCAGGAUGAACGCUGGCGGCGUGCCUAACACAUGCAAGUCGAACGGGCGCGGCGUGCGGCAGGGGCCUCGGCCCCUGCGGCGUCGCGCGAGUGGCGGACGGGUGAGUAACGCGUGGGCAACCUGCCCUGUACUGGGGGAUAACACCUGGAAACAGGUGCUAAUACCGCAUAAGCGCGCAGUGCCGCAUGGCACGGCGCGGAAAACCCCGGUGGUACAGGAUGGGCCCGCGUCUGAUUAGCUGGUUGGCAGGGUAACGGCCUACCAAGGCGACGAUCAGUAGCCGGCCUGAGAGGGUGGACGGCCACACUGGGACUGAGACACGGCCCAGACUCCUACGGGAGGCAGCAGUGGGGGAUAUUGCACAAUGGGGGGGAACCCUGAUGCAGCGACGCCGCGUGGGUGAAGGAGCGUUUCGGCGCGUAAAGCCCUAUCGGCAGGGAAGAAGAUGACGGUACCUGACCAAGAAGCCCCGGCUAACUACGUG